GUGUAAACUGUGAUGUUCUUCCCAAUGGGUGUAAACUGUGAUGUUCUCCCCUGAGGGGUGUAAACUGUGAUGUUCUUCCCUAUGGGUGUAAACUGUGAUGUUCUCCCCUGAGGGGUGUAAACUGUGAUGUUCUCCCCUCUGGGUGCAAACUGUGAUGCUGUGGGGUGUAAACGGUGAUACCCUUCUGUUAAGAGAAUUAUGUUCUCAAUGUUCAUAAACCAAUUCAAUCAAACUAGAGGCUAAAAUAGUCAAUAAGGUUUAUUCACGGGAACGUUGUAAAGUCAAGAAUACAAAACAAUUCAUUUUAUACAACCAUACGCACACAUAUUCACACUAACAUUAGCACACAAUGUCCUGCUACGCACACACAUUCACACUAACAGAAGGUAUCCUACGCACAUAGAGUCUCACUACCCAGCCGACAGACAUUAGACCUUGAGACGUACUCUCCGUUCUCUCCCAAAUCUCUAGGCAGGUCAGCGCCGAAUUUUGCUCAGACAGUCUGUCUUUUUCGGCGAAAGCAUAACAAGUAUUUAUGUAAGGACAUCUCUCUCCGCAGACAAAACAUUAUAAACAGCUAGCAGCCAAGUAGAUUGGUCACGGAUGAAUUGCUUACCUUUGAUGAUCUUCGGAUGUUUGCACUCACGGGACUCCCAGUUACACAAUAAAUGUUCCUUUUGUUCCAUAAAUAUUAUUUUUAUAUCCAAAAUACCCCCAUUUCGUUGACCCGUUAUGUUCAGAAAUCCACAGGCUCGAGCGGUCAUGACCGGUCAGAUGAAAAUUCCAAAUAGUAUACGUAAAGUUCGUAGAAACAUGUCAAACGUUUUUUUAUAAUCAAUCCUCAGGUUGUUUUUACAAUAUAUAAUCAAUAAUAUUUCAACCGGGACUGUAGCUUCUUCAACAGGAGAGAGAGAGAAAAUGUCUGCUCCAAGCUGUUGCGCAUGCAAAACGCUGCUGGCAACCAGCCAUACAAUGAGGCGGUGUGAUCUUUCUUGCUCAUUUUUCAAAAUAAAAGCCUGAAACUAUGUCUAAAGACUGUUCACACCAUGGGGAAACCAUAUGAAAGGAAUCUGGUUGAUAUCCCUUUAAAUAGAGCGAAGGCAGGCAAUGGAACAGAGAGCUUUCAGGUAAAACAGCACUUCCGGGUUGGAUUUUCCUCAGGUUUUUGCCUGCAAUAUCAGUACUGUUAUACUCACAGACAAUAUUUUGACAGUUUUGGAAACUUUAGAGUGUUUUCUAUCCUAAUCUGACAAUUAUAUGCAUAUUCUAGAUUCUUCGCCUGAGAAAUAGGUAGUUUCAUUUGGGUAAGUUUUUCAUCCAAACAUCAAAAUACUGCCCCCUACACUCAGCAGGGGACAGUAUUAACAGGGGGCAGUAGUAACGGUGGAGCGCGCUCACCCUCCUUUAGAUUUUUGCUGUAUGACACUUGUCAUUUGCCAUAUGCCAUUUUCAAUAUGGUUUGAAUGAAUUGGCGUCGAAUUGAGUGGUAUUUGCCAAUGUGUAUAUGUUUCGUACACUGCCAAAAUGUUCCCAUUCAUUUUUAUCCAUUUCAGGGGGGUUUUGCCUUCCCGGAAGACCCAGCACUGGGGCACGACCUGAGUCCAUUGGCCUAUUUUAAUAACACUUGCGGAUGUCUACUAAUCGACCUUACAUUUGCAAAAUGUAGAUCCUCAUUAUUAACCAUACGGGUAAUGCCAUCGGCUUCCCUUAUGUAGGAUAUGUACGAGUCUGCUGUUUAUGAUAAUGCAGAGGAUUUUACAAAGGUUGCUGUUGACGCAUAUCCCAAGGUAGUUAUUGGGGUCAAAUUUGUUUCCACUUUCUUGGAUUGGGGUGAUCAGUCCUUGGUUCCAAAUAUUGGGGAAUGAGCUAGAGGACAGGACAAUGUUAAAGAGUUUAAGUAUAGCCAAUUGAAAUUUGUGGUUUGUAUAUUUUAUCAUUUCAUUUAGGAAAACACCAACCCCAAAGGCUUUUUUGGGGUGUUAGGGAUUGUAUUUUGUCCUAUAGUUCAGUACAUGUAAUUGGAGAAUCCAGUGGGUUCUGGUAGUCCUUAAUAGCUGAAUCUAAGAUUUGAAUUUGAGUCAAAAGUUUGGACACACCUACUAGGGGGAGCUUCCCUGAAAUUCAGUUCUGAAAACAAAUCAAUUAAAUUAGAUACCGUUAAUGAAACAUGUUGUUCAUUCCUUUCACAUUUUAUGAGGUAUUUCUCUUUUUCCAUAUGACAGUUUCCUGACAUUUUAAUAAAAAUAUCUUUGUAAAUUUCAACGGUUCAAUAAAAACACAUACAAGCAA
ensembl:lncRNA